AGUGAACGCUGGCGGUAGGCCUAACACAUGCAAGUCGAACGGCAGCACAGUAAGAGCUUGCUCUUACGGGUGGCGAGUGGCGGACGGGUGAGGAAUACAUCGGAAUCUACUUUUUCGUGGGGGAUAACGUAGGGAAACUUACGCUAAUACCGCAUACGACCUACGGGUGAAAGCAGGGGAUCUUCGGACCUUGCGCGAUUGAAUGAGCCGAUGUCGGAUUAGCUAGUUGGCGGGGUAAAGGCCCACCAAGGCGACGAUCCGUAGCUGGUCUGAGAGGAUGAUCAGCCACACUGGAACUGAGACACGGUCCAGAAUACUACGGGAGGCACCAGUGGGGAAUAUUGGACAAUGGGCGCAAUCCUGAUCCAGCCAUACCGCGUGGGUGAAGAAGGCCUUCGGGUUGUAAAGCCCUUUUGUUGGGAAAGAAAAGCAGCAGGUUAAUACCGCGCUGUUCUGACGGUACCCAAAGAAUAAGCACCGGCUAACUUCGUG
rnacentral:rRNA from 1 species